AUGUAGCUGCACACAGCCACCACCUGGAUCUUAGGGAAAUCAUUAUAGUGAUGUAUCUCUAAUUCCCUUGGUUUGAGUUGAGAGAAGGCAACAAGGCAAAACUGUACAGGUCACUGCAACAGUCAGUCUCUUCAAGGCCCACUGGAAAGGCUGUGUACCUUGUACCUUAGCAGUCUCUGCCAUAUACCCUUUCACAAGGGAGCAACUUUGCUUCACUGCCAUAUGCACUCCAGUUCUCCCAAAGCAGGGGUCCUUACCUCAAACUGUAAACCUACAGAGGCUGUCACUUUUCAAGUAGGACACUACCACAGAAAGCACAGAGGAAUUUUUAGUCAAUCUAUCCAGAUCCUACAGAUUACUUUGCAGACUUCUUUUCAGCUGUCAUCUGAGCAAAAUUUCAAAGAGAUGCCAAAGAACCGACCAAAAGUGGAUUUUGAAAAGAUUUAUCAAAGUUGGGCUGUCUAGAGAUACAACUGGAACACCUUCUAUCUGGAACUAGAGACAGGUUGCAAAUUUGCUUGAGCUUAACAAGUGUUCUGAACUACAAGAAACAUGGAUGUUAUCAGGAAGGGCUCAGUUCCCACUCCUGUCUUGCGAGUACCAGUGUUCAUCUCACCCCACAGGAAGCCACAAGAAAAGAACUUACUAUUUUUUGGUAUGGUUUGUUAUCUGUGGACAUGGCAAGCAGCAAUAGCUCACAGAUGUGAGACAGAGCAGAGGAUGGGGAGUUGGACCUGAAGGGGAGGCAGAAGAUACUGCAAGGCAGAUUUUGCUGGUUCAUACUGCCAGGG